CUUGCAAGGACUGGGACAGAAUCCUCAUUGUCCACAGGAGUACUAACACGGGAAACCCUGAGGAGCUUCUGGCUGAAGACUAUGAACAGACGGCACCUCCUUGUAACCUCUCUCUUGAGAGCCCUGGAAACGACUGUAUUCCGCCUUUUUGGCCCAUAAUAAACUGGAUGUCAGCACCCACAGCACAUUUGUCAUCUGCAAGUGAACUUACCAAUUGCUAAGUGGACAGACCCUAGUCCAUUUCCCUACAAACCCCAGGAUUCGGAGACUGCCUUGCCUUGUGGAAGCCUUCCUGCUUUGCCAGAUUUUUCCCUCCCUCCUCCCAAGCACUGGCCCAGACACCUCCUUUAACACUUCCUCUCCCUCUCCCACCUAAGACUCAGCAGUUACGAGCUCAUUUUUGCUGGAAUUGUUACUAUAGAUGUCAUAUGCAUCCCCCACCCCACCCCCUGCGCAACCCUUCAUCCAUUGCCUCAAGCCCAUGCAUAUCCAGUGUCUUAAUCCACGAGAGAGGCUGUAACAAAUUGCCUGGCCUGGGUCAUUUAUA